rfam:Schizophyllum commune H4-8 unplaced genomic scaffold SCHCOscaffold_2, whole genome shotgun sequence.
GCCCCUGUUGUCUAAUGGUUUAUGACGUCAGACUUCUACUUCUCUGCUUUUCCUUUGAAAUUCGGAGCUUGGUGGCAUCUGGAGGUUGCGGGUUCGAGUCCCGCCAGGGGUU